rnacentral:lncRNA from 1 species
UUUUACUGAGAGCCCAGGUGCUUUCUACCUCUCUGCUCUGCUGUGCUUGGCGUUGGCUUCACCUGAGGGUUGAAGGUUCUUUCCUUGGAUGAGAGAUAACUGAACCACCCCUGUGGACCCAGGAACAGGGUCUGUGUCCCUUGAAGCACGUGACAGCAGAGGACGGGAGGCUCCACCUGAACAUGACCAGGGGUCUCCUGGGGAGGAAAAAUGGAGAUGGAAGCUGCAGAGGAAACGAACAGCUGCCCCCACACAUGCCGUACAAGGCCUGCAUGGGAUGAUGUACGUAGAGCUGCAUUUAAUGUAUACUAAAAAUCACUGGGCCGUGUUGCUAACUUCUGUUAGCAGAGAAUGCAGAAAGGCUGUGGGAGCCUUUCAUUGCCAGCUCUACGUGACCCUUCCCCUUAUGAUCAACACCAGACCAGGGAUUUAACUACAAGGCCCUGCCUUACCCAGCUCUUUUUGUCCCCACUUUGCAAAGUUCCUAAAAUGUACCAGAUUUCUUUCUUCUUCAUGGUCUUAUAUGCUGAUCCCUCUGCGGAAAACAGUCUCUGUAUUUGUUGCCUUUUCUUACGUAGGUUUCACUUCAUGUCAUUCCUUAAAGAGCACUUCCCUGUCCUCCUAAACUGAAUUAGGUGCCCCCUCCCUGGCUUGUGUCCCUAUUGGGAUCUAGUUCCAGAUUGUAAUUAUGUUUCUAUUAUGUUCAUGUGUAGCUCUGUGGUAUGGGGGCCACAUUUGUUCUGCUCACUAGUGAAUCCUCAGAGCCUGGCACAUGGCAAUGCUCAAGACAUUUGAUGAAUGAAUUAGCUAUUUCAUGCACUUCUUCGUCUAACUCUCAUGCCUAUUGUCUUUUUUAAGCAUGUGAGACAUCUUUGGAGGUUAUUGAAUGUAAAGAUUUCUACAAAACAGUACCCAUUCCAAAAGAUUAAUGAUGUUUAAUAAACCUAAAUAAUAAGGAAUGCUUGGAAAGCUCAUAAAGUAACAGCAAUGGAACAGGGAGAUUUUUUAAAUCAUAUUUAAGUAAUUUAUUGCUUUGCAUCAGUUACCCUUACACAGAUAAAGCCAAGACUAGAGCAAAUUGGUGAACUAGUUAGUUCAACACUGUCUUUGCCCCAGCCCCUAUCUCACUAGCUAAUUACAUUAGCAGACAUAUAUCAAAUGUUUCCUCUGUGCUGCCCAUUGUGCUGGACUGUGAGAUUUGGCCCUGAUUUCAGUCCGGAUUCUAGUAGGGCUUCCAGCACCUCCUUCUCCCUUUGGGGCUUCCCUCAAUUCCAUUCAACAAAUAUUUAUUGAACUCAUAGUUGGGUGAAAGAAAUGAUGAAUGAGUAAAUCCGUAGCAAUACUUCAUGUUACUACUCACGAUGAUGGCUGUGAGGUGUUAACAAUAUUUUGAAUCAUGCAAGUUUUCAUUAGGGCCAUUCUAUCUAUUAAGGCAAGAACUGAACAAAUACAUCUAAGAAUGGGUUUCUACUAGAAAGAUUGCAACAAAUAAGUUUUUCUGAUUAGCCCUCAGAUAAUUCAAUUAACUUCUAUUACCAGAACGUUCAAGUCUGCUUUGCUAGCCUAUGAGUUUCCAUACAGGAGGGGCUGAAGGGCUGGCAAUCUGUUAGGAAGGCAAGCUGGAGUUUUGUCUUGAAGUCAUGUUUACACAGCAAGUAUGCUGUUUCUGCUUGGAUUCCAUGGCUAUUUGGCAUAGCUAAAGGUGGCUAUUGGAAAUCAUGGGGAAAUUAAAUCUUUGCCCCCUCUCAAUCAUUUAUUGGCGCUACCACUGAUCCUAGCUAACUGAAGCAUAAUUACAUUUUGUUUGUUUGUCAGACUUUCAGACUGCUCAGGCUUCAAAAUCCACAAGAUUUCAAAAAGAAAAUUUCAAAGGGAGAAAGAAGCCAUAGUCUGCUCUGAUAACUUGUUUAUCAAUUUAUUUUUCAAUUUCCCUGUCCUCUUCUCUCAGAGGGAAACAUGAGUGAGAACCUGACUCGCAACCCCUAUGAGAUAGAGAAUAUUUGCCUUUUUUUUUGGUUGAUUGCUGGGCUUGAAAAGAAAAAAAAAGACAGAAAAUAAAAAAGGUUAGAAGUCGGGCAUGAUGGCUUACGCCUAUAAUCCUAACACUUUGGGAGGCCAAGGCAGGCAGAUCACUUGAGCCCAGGAGUUCAAGACCAGUCUGGGUAACAUGGCGAAACUUCGUCUCUACAAAAAAUACAAAAAUUAACCAAGUGCAGUGGUGCAUGCCUGUAGUCCCAGCUACUUGGGAGGCUAAGGCAGGAGGAUCGCUUGAGCCUAGGAUAUUGAGGCCUCAGUGAGCCGUAAUUGAGCCACUGCACUCCAGCCUGGGUGACAGAGCAAGACCCUGUCUCAAAAAAAAAAAAAAAAGAAAAGCCAAGUUAAAAAUCUGUAAACUGAUAAUAUGGAAACAUGUUUACCUACUUUACAGGAAUGUCAUAUCAUCAAAACCAGAGGAAUUUUCUGUGCAAAUACAAAGGAAGUAAUUUAAUAGUUUCCAAAUGGUCUUUCUUGUUUUCUUAUCACCCAUCCACUCCUUGCACAUUUUUGAAAAAAAUUGUCUAGUUUGUAUUUACCCUUCUCACUUAUGCUGCAUAAACACAUUUUGCUCAAGGAAGGCAAACCUAGACAGGUCUGGUUUAAUUCCACAAUCAGAUAUUAAUAUAGUGUUUUGAAGAUAAUUGCUUUAUGACCUCAGAAUGAAUCAGUUCUCAGGGCAAGGAGACAUUUAAUGCAGCAGGCAGCACGCUUGCCAUGCCCCAUAUGUGGUGUGCUUGUAGUGCAGUGGGGCUCAGCUUCACGGGCACACCACGUGUGUACCAUACCCACAAACUGGAUUAGCAAGAAUGUGUAAACUUGGACUUCAUUCCCUCUCUUCCCUAGAUUCUGCUCAGGAAGCUAGAUUUUGUGAUUAGGCAAUCCUAUUGGGUGAAAGCUCACAAUAGUACUGAUAUUCCUAACAAUAGCUACCAUUUAUUGUACAUCUAUUACAGGCCAGGCUAAAUGCUGGGCUCAGUGCUUUGUGUCCUCAUCUUUGGAGCCCUCAUAACACCAAUACCAGGUGUAUUUUAUUAUCUCCUCAUUUUCUCAUAUUGCAGAUGAGGACACUGAGCUGAGAGCAGUUGAGUCACUUGCCCAAGGUCAUAU